GUCUCUGUGGCGCAAUCGGUUAGCAUGUUCGGCUGUUAACUAAAAGGUUGGUGGUUCAAGCCCACCCAUGGACG
rnacentral:tRNA from 1 species